AUGCCACCUCCCUUGCAAGAGAACACUGCGGAUUUGUACAGACGCAUCAAUCAACCAAAAAACAAACAUAUCCCGGGUGAAACGGCAGCUCAAGAACCACAUCCAUAUGUACACACUUGCAAGUACCACACACGGUUCGCUGGAUCCAUCAGCAGCAGUUUCUCGUUUUUCUGUUCUUUUCUCUCUCUUUUUGUUGUUUUCGCAUGCCAAUGGCCCUUGAAAACCUGCAUCCAUUUCUUGCGCUGGAGUUUGGAUCAUUCCUGGUUGGGUGUAGAUACUCGAGACCGGCCCCUGCUCCCAUCUUUGGGACGGCGGAUUCAUCGGCCCUGCAAAACUCGACGCAGACCGAUGCCUGGUGUAAUCUCCGAGAGCCGAUCGAGCCCUUCAUGGACUGGGCUUGGAGAGCUUGAAGUCCAUCGUCCAGUGUGA
rnacentral:rRNA from 1 species